rnacentral:rRNA from 1 species
AUGCAAGUCGAACGAUGAAGUUCCGUUACGGGAAUGGAUUAGGUGGCGAACCGGGGUGAGGAACACGUGAGAAACCCUGCCUUUCAUUCUGGGAUAACACCGGGAAACCGGUGCUAAUACCGGAUACUCCGUCUUGGCGGCAUCGCCGAGCUGGGAAAAAUUUUGAUGAAAGAUGGUCUCGCGGCCUAUCAGCUAGUUGGUGAGGUAAAGGCUCACCAAGGCGACGACGGGUAGCCGGCCUGAGAGGGCGACCGGCCACACUGGGACUGAGACACGGCCCAGACUCC